CGAAGCGGUGAAUUCAAGCCCCGGUAAACGGCGGUGGUAACUAUAACCAUCCUAAGGUAGCGAAAUUCCUUGUCGGGUAAGUUCCGACCUGCACGAAUGGCGUAACGACUUCCCCACUGUCUCGACCAGGAGCUCGGCGAAAUUGCAGUACGAGUAAAGAUGCUCGUUAAGCGCAGAAGGACGAAAAGACCCCGGGACCUUUACUAUACCUUGGUAUUGGCAUUCGGUGUGGAUUGUGUAGCAUAGGCGGAAGGCUUCGAAGCCACGGCGCCAGCCGCGGUGGAGCCGCAAGGUGAAAUACCGCUCUGUUCGCAUUGGAUGUCUAACCUCGACCAGUCAUCCUGGUCAGGGACAGUGCCUGGCGGGUAGUUUAACUGGGGCGGUUGCCUCCCAAAGAGUAACGGAGGCGCUCAAAGGUUCCCUCAGCCCGGUUGGCAAUCGGGUGGCGAGUGUAAGUGCACAAGGGAGCUUGACUGCGAGACUGACGGGUCGAGCAGGGACGAAAGUCGGAACUAGUGAUCCGGUGCCGGUGUACGGACGCGGCAUCGCUCAACGGAUAAAAGGUACCCCGGGGAUAACAGGCUGAUCAUUCCCAAGAGUCCAUAUCGACGGGAUGGUUUGGCACCUCGAUGUCGGCUCGUCGCAUCCUGGGGCUGGAGCAGGUCCCAAGGGUUCGGCUGUUCGCCGAUUAAAGCGGCACGCGAGCUGGGUUCAGAACGUCGUGAGACAGUUUGGUCUCUAUCCUCUGCGCUCGUCGGAAUGUUGAGGAGGCCUGCCCAUAGUACGAGAGGACCUGGGUGGACGAACCUCUGGUAUGCCGGUUGUCACGCCAGUGGCACGGCCGGUUGGCUACGUUCGGAAGGGAUAACCGCUGAAAGCAUCUAAGCGGGAAGCCUGCUCCAAGAUAAGCAUUCCAUAGGACUACGGGUCCUUGAAGUCCCCAUGCAGAACACGUGGUUGAUAGGCCGGACGUGGAAGCCCCGCGAGGGGUGGAGCCGACCGGUACUAACGGACGAAAGGCAACACAAC
rnacentral:rRNA from 1 species